ACACUGGGACUACUAUUCUCUU
rnacentral:miRNA from 2 species